rnacentral:misc_RNA from 1 species
GAGAACCAGCCAGAGUAAUUCUGCUAAAUUGGAGUACAAUUGGUUAAGAGUAUCAUCCAGAAGAGAUGAACUUGUGUCCAUAAAAUACAUAAUAUUUUACAGGAUCACCACACUGUUAACAAAACUAUCCCAUCCCAUAUAAAAGGUAAUCUUCGAAUACUAAAUUUUACAAAAUAUUAUCAUAAUUGCAAUUGAUGGUGCAAAACAAAACAAAUCACAGAUACACGCAGCGGGUGCAGUAACCAUUGAAGUUUUGCUUAAGUCAUGUAUAACAAACGAAUGUGAUAAUGGUAUUUUUGAUUUAACUCAAGGAAGAAUUGUACCUCAUUUGAAUCAAACUAACUAAUGAAAUGCUUAACAGAAAGCACCAGCAAGAGCAAAGACACAAAUCAAAGCAUUUUCUGUUAACCCUCUGCAAAGGUAAAAAAUGAAAAGGGAAAAAAAUGGAUCAAAUACAGCAGCAAGAUUACAUUACCAUAGAGGACGUAUACCUACUACAAAAACAAAAUAUGAUGACAUCUUCUAAAACAUGCGAUACCUACAGAAGUAUAAGCUGUAUAAUAAAACCCAACUAGAAGCUUCUGGGAUCAUUGGCAACGCUAAAACAUGGCCUUUGUAUUCUGGCUACUUCAAAAACCCUCUUCUUUUACCCUCCUUGAGAUCACUGGGGAUGAUAAAAACUGAAUCUACACAAAGCCCACCUUUGGAAUGUGUGCAAUCAAUCUGUUUCAUGGAAAAUCGCACCUCAGUGGCAGGUUCUGAGUCAGUGACAACAAAUUCACCUACCUUGUACUCUAUCCACAAUCCACGUUUAUGAUUGCCAUAUGCUUCUUCUUGUUCAGUCUCAUCUAUACAACUUUCAGAUGAUGCUUGCUGACCAUCAGAAGUAGACAACUCAAACCGUACUGGCUUUAUAUCCCAACCAUGAGUGUGCUCAAAAUUGCACACACGUCGUCCCAACCUUUUGGCAAAUCUUCCAAGGUGAAGCCUGAAGGACAGAGUAUAAAUAUCAGCUGGAAAAGGAAACUUUAAAACCCCAUCAACUUCAAACCACCAUAUUUGCUGCAAAUAGGCCACAACAUGGAAUCUAGAUUCUUCAGUGGGAACCCAAUUCCAAUAUCUCCGGUCCUCAAUCCCCGUUAUCGCCAUUCCUUUGGCCGAUAUCGACAUACAAACCCUUCCCGUCGUUCUAUCCAACCAUACCUCCUGCCCAAAAAGAAACAAACAACAAAAGUAUAGAAACCAAAACCAAAAACGCUAUUUCCUAAAAUUACCCUUACAAACUAAACAACAAGCAAACUUGAAAAUUAUCAAGAAAUGAAAGCAACUGACCUUAUUGCCAUCGUCAAAUGGAACGGGACGCGAGAGUUGGGCGAAGAUAUCCUUCUUGGACAAGCUCUGGUACCGUUCGGCAGGGAACAAAUCGAGCAGAUCUUGAUAAUUAGGCGGCAACUUCUUCUCCCAAACGGAAUCAGAUGAUGCGGCGCCUCUAAAAGCACGGUUCAGUCGAGCAAGAUUACAAAUCUCUGGUGGCGUCAAGUAGGUAAACACGCACGCCACACAACUUUCCGGUAUAUCUCCGAGACCCGGACCCAUGGUGGCUCCCUCCGUUAGGUUAGAUAGCGACGCACCCAUGGUCGGCUCCCCCUUUCCUGCGGCUUCACUGAAUAUAAUAGUAUAGUCGUAUUAGUUAAAUCUAGGAAAUUGCGUGAAUGCCUGUGUUGUCAGUGUGUGUUAAGGUCAUCUGAGGAGUGUUUGGCAGACGAGAAAGUGGAGAAGUAGAAGAAGAGAGAAGCAUGUAUUUGCGUGUUUCAUUUUAUAUUCCGCCGGAAAGUGAAGAAAAAUCGGUGGGAAAAUGGAGGUUUUAACGAGACCGGGAGGGGGAAUGACUGACGAGUGUGGGUGGUGG